rnacentral:lncRNA from 1 species
GGGGCUAGCAAAAUAUAAAUCUAUCUAAGAUACUAACUAUAUAAAUGACUAGGUAGAAAAGGUGGGUAGGUGGCUAGGGUUGCUAGGUUGGUAGGUUGGUAGGUUGGUGAUUACAAGUAAAGAGAAGGGGGUAUUUAUAACUAAAGAAUUAGGGUUUAGGGGUAGGGUGGCUCAAUCUUGACCAUCCACGUGCCUUGUGUGUUGGGAAGAUUGUGGCCCUCCAUGUGUCCCUUAGUUGCCAACUCUUUUUUUCUUCUUUUCUUUUCCCUUUUCUUCUUUUUCUUGCAUUUUCUCUUCUUUCUUUAUUUAUCUACAAUUUCCUGAAAUAAAAUAAAUAAGCGAUUAAUACUACGAAAAUAAACAAAAAAUAGGUACUUAAAUAUGCAAAAUAUGGACUAAUCAAACUUCCCCAUACCUAUCUUUUGCUCGUCCUCGAGUAAAAAUCAAAAGAAAAGAAAAUAAACUAAGAAAACUAGAUGCGAUUCCUAGGCUCCUUUUCGUAGGCGUGACGGGUGAUUUUAGGUUCACCAACCCGUUAAACUCGUAGACGAUCUCUACAAGAGGAGUUUUGUCUCCUAAGGGUUUACAGAAGAUAUACCCAUAAAAUCUUCGAGACAUUCUAGCAAGUGUCUACUCGACUCUACUCUAAUUUCGUUGGUGUUAACAAAAAGCGUUUUUAAGGAAAAUACGACUUAAAGACUCAUCUACUAAUAAUCAAGAUACAGUUGUCUCUAAUCUACUUGCAUCGACACAAAGAUUUACUAGAAAUCCAAGGAGUGUAAGUAAUUUAAGGCCUUUGAUGGAUCCUAAUUGUCUAAGAACAUUUUCUCUUUUUCAACCAAUUUUGAACUGACCCAAUCUCUAUCGAAACAAAUAUCUAGCCAAACUUCACAAACUCUUAUUCUUCUCUUUUCUUUUUUUUUUUUCUUUUUUUUUUCUCUUUUUUUCUUCUUUUUUUUUUUUUUUUUUUUUUUUUUUUUUUUUUUUCCCUUUUUUUUUGUCAUAAGACUUUAACGUCAGUAAAUUGUACCGAAAUACAAUAUCAUAAGUAUCAGAAGAGCUUCGUUCAUACAUGAAAAUCUUUCAUCUAACACACUACUUUUGUGAUAUUUUUGACAUUAUCACAUUCAGUACUCUAGGUGGAGUAUUGAAGUAGUUAUUCCUUUUCUUUUUCUUUUUUUUUUUUUUCUUUUUUUUUUCUUUUGCAUUGACUUUAUUUUGACCGUUUUCUUAGGCUUCCUAUGUUACCCAUGUAGAAAGCUUUAGGUCAGUGACUCGCAAACCAAACGGUCUAAGGGCAGUAGGUUUUGAAAUCCCCCUACGGACUUAAUAACUCGAGUAACAAAGGCCACAAAACGAGACUAGCCAAUCUACUUUUGCCCAUUUAUCUAAAGAUUUUAUCUAUAAAGAACAAUGGGUAUUGAAGUAGUUUUUCCUUUUUUUUUUCUAUCUCUUUUUUUUUUUUUUUUUUUUCUUUUUUUUAUUCGCAAAGGUUCGGUUCGACAUUGUUUCAACAUGUGGGCUCUCUCUCAGGUAUCGAAUAAUAUCACUAGACAAUCUCUCCAUCAAAGGUCUCGUGCAAAGUGUGUGCCAUCUUGGAAUUUAGAGUACAAAUCGGUCGAUACAAGCUUCAAAAAGACAACCUUACUCAACUACGUUCAAAUUAUCUAAAAGACACUACAUAUAUAUACUUUUGGAAAACAUGCUAAACACCAACUACUCCUAAAGUUCGAGUGAGGGAAAGACAACUUAGCUAAAAGUAUCUCUAUUUUUGGAUUUUUCUAAUUUUUCAAUUUUUAGGGAUUUUCAUUUUUAGAAUUACACUACAGCCCUCCCCAUACCUAAAUCAUGCAUUGUCCUCAAUGUAUGCAAAAGAGAGAAUUGAAAUGCGAGAGUAAAGAGGAAAAAUACCUGAAUAGGAGAUGAAGGGGAUUUUUAUUAACAAAAGAAACACUUAAUCAACCCACACACUCACACAUUUCCUUCCCCAUACCUGAAUUUCACGAGGGAAGGUUGGAAGAAGAACCAAAUCAACCAAUUCCGGAAGGGAAGAUGGGAGGAAGCUUCGAGAAAGAGUCAAAAUGUGUAUGAAAAUUUUUAGGUACAAAGACUUUCUCUAGCAUGUGACCAUCUUUCAUCCUUAUAUGACCAGUAUCACUAAUGUUCACCCUAAACCAACUCAAUGCUUCUUUAUUAUCAAGCAAAUUAGAGACAAUGAAAUUUUGGUCAUGAGAUAAAUCACUAGGAACGAUGUAAGAAACGACGUCAUCUCUUCCUAAGGCACUAUGUGAAGGAUGGAACAACGAGUCAAAUGUUGGUGUUUCACCUACAUGACUCUCUAAAGCGGGCCUAGGGUCAACACGAACAAUCUCGAGCGGAGUUUCCCAUUUUGAACAAAUGUCGUUCAAUUCUCCCAACAACUCCUCCGAGGUCAACUCUUUCAACGGCUCAGGAAAUUCCCUAUUGUUCUCGUUGUUGACUUUGAACUCCUCGUUGAGCAGCGACUCAAUCUCACUAUCCUCAAAACUAGACCAUGUGACAAACUUGUUGACCACAUUAACCCCUAUAGGUUGCUCAUAAAGCUCAUUGGGUUCUUUUCCGACGUUAAAAAUGUUUAAAUCAAUGGUCAUGUUUCCAAAUGUGAGCUUCAUAGAACCAUUCCUACAAUUGAUUAAGGCAUUGGAUGUAGCAAGAAAAGGUCGUCCUAAAAUGAUAGGAAUUUGGUUCUUAGGAUUCGAGACGGGUUGAGUCUCGAGAACAACAAAGUCAACGGGAAAGAUAAAAUCACCGAUUUUUAUCAACACAUCCUCAAUAAUCCCCUUAGGCAUUUUAAUAGAACGAUCGGCAAGUUGAAGGGUCAUAUUGGUGGUCUUGAGAUCCCCUAAACCUAGGGCUUGGUAGACCGAGAAAGGAAGAAGAUUCACACUCGCUCCUAAAUCAAGUAAAGCUUUAUCCACAAAUUUAUCGCCUAUGACACAAGAAAUUGUAGGACAACCGGGGUCCUUAUAUUUCACGGGAAUUUGAUUCGAGAGAAUCGAACUAACUUGUGAGGUCAAAAAGGCUUUCUUUGGAACAUGGGUGGUUCUCUUAUGGGUACACAAAUCUUUUAAACACUUAGCAUAAGAAGGGACUUGUUGAAUGGCAUCUAAAAGAGGAAUGUUUAUCUUGACUUGUUUGAAAACCUCUAGGAUUUGUUCCAUUUGGGCCGAUUGUUUAGGAGGAAUGAGUCUUUGUGGGUAAGGAACCCUUGGCUUGUAAACUUCUUCGUUGGGCUUUUGAGAAAUGGGCCCAGGACUAGGUUCACUCAUAGACUCACGGACUCUAGAACAUUCGGGUUUGUCAUGAUUAGUGCUAGACAAAGAAGGAUUUGUUUUAGGAAUCGACUCCUCAUUUUCAUUAACGUUCUCACCAACUUUGUUAUCCACUUGAUUUCCCGACCUUAGAGAAAUAAUCGCAUUAACAUUCUCGGGAGGUCUUUGAUUGAGAGGAAAUUUAGGACUGACCUCGGGUUGACUUGGGAACUUGUUUUUCUCUCGCUCACAUAACGCGCUAGCUAAUUGACUCAAUUGGGCCUCUAACUUAGACACGGCUUGCACGUUAGAAUGCAAGAUUUGCCUAUCUUGGGUUAGGGUUGUCAUGAAAGUUUGUUGUGAUUGAGUCAAAUUAGUUUGCGAUUUCACUAAGGCUUCCAAACUCUUUUCUAAGGAAUUGAGGCGUUUAUCCGAAUCAUUGAAACCGGGAGGAUUCAAAGGAGUUUGAAUUGGGUUAUGACAUGCAUUCGGACCUUGAUUUGGGUAAGAGUUUGGGUUGGGCCUUUGUUGAAAAUUUGGUUGAGGAGUUGGAAAAGAAUUUGGCCCUUGAUUUUGAAAAAUUUGACCUUGGGUCCAUGAGAAAUUUGGGUGAUUUCUCCACCCGGGAUUAUAAGUGGGUGCAAACGCAUCAUUCCUAGGAUUUUGAAACAUCGCAUUUACUUGUUCAAGUUCGUGCGAAGGUUGGGUGCCGGGAUUUUGAAAAUUGUAAUUAGGGAGCAUCGACAUUUGUGGGGGAGAUUUACUAGUUUCUAAAGCUUCAAGUCUCCUAGUUAGGGUGGCUAGUUUGGCAUCGGUUGCCACAUUAUUUCCUAUCGAAUGCAAGCCCCUAGCGCUAGAUGACUGAAUUGACUUUUUGGGCUCCCUAGUUGACUCCCACAUCAUAGUCUUUUCCGCUAAAUCCUCGAAAAAUUCCCACCCUUGGUCCUCAUCUUUUUCCAUGAAUUUACCUUGGCACAUAGACUCUAAUAACGCAGUGGUUUGACUAACUAAGGCCUCAUAAAUUAUCUUGCAAAGUCUCCAUUUUUCUAUUCCGUGGUGGGGGCAUUGUGAAAGAAGAUUUUUGAAGCGGUCAAAGAAAAUCCAAAAAGACUCGUUUUCCUUUUGAUAAAAUUGAUUUAUUUCAUUUGUAAUACGAGUCGUUUUGUGGUUUGGAAAAUACUUUUUAAGAAACAUUACCACAAAUCCUUCCCAAGUGGAAAUAGAAUUGACGGGUAGACUAUACAACCAUUUUUAGCAUUUUCUUUUAAAGCAAAGUUGAUAAGUCUAAGCCGAAUGGAGUCUUCACUCAAUUGUUGGAGUUUUUGCAAACCGCAAACCUCCUCAAAUUCUUGAAUAAAGAGAUAUGGAUCCUCACCAUCACUCCCUAAAAAUUUAGGCAACAUACUAAUGUGAUGUGCCUUAAUCUCGAAAUUAUUCCCAUUAACGGGAGGAAGGGUGAUGCACGAUGGUUGAGCGGAACGGGACGGGUAACAACGGUCUUUAAGAGACAACGCCAUGUUUACUAUCGGUUCGCUAGCUUCUAUGGGUUCGGAGUCCGAAGAGGACGAAGAAGGAAUUUCGAUGAUCGGUCUAACUAAUCUAGACGAUUCGCUCCUAACCCAAGUAGUUCGCAUAAACUAGAUAGUAAACACGUAGCAAAUAAGUGCGAAGAAAUAAAACAAACAAAAGAAAGGGUGUAAAAGUGAAAGAAAAACUUAAUUCUAGGGUUCCCUAAUAAAAAUGAACUAGACCUUGCUCCUAACGUUAAGGACCACCAAAAACUCGAUAAAUCCAAAAUUAUUCGGACCGGUCUGGCCAGUUUGGAGCAGGCAUUGCCAAGAGGCCAAUCUCCGCGCUUAGACACCAAACCUUAAUCGGCCAGGUAAGCUUUCGCUUGCCUUAGACACCGAAAAGUCGGAAUAAUUAACGAUUAUCUCGUCUUUUAGGUACCUUCCUAAUUGAGCGCGAAACCUAGGGGCUAAUGUCUAAUUCAAUUUUAUUAAAAGGCUAGGGAAAUGCAAAAUGAAGUAAUUAAAUCGUUGUGGGCCAAGGAAAGAGAGAUGAAAUCCCUUCCCUUAUCUUGUGAGUGGGUUUUGCCCUUAAGAUUUAUUUAAAAUGAUGCUCCACACAACGAGAUAAUAAAAGCUAUAAACAAUUAAGGAUGCUCUAAACUACGUGUUUUAAUCUAGAGAAAAGAAAGAAAUUAACGCACCUUAGGGUCCUCCAGCGAUCACCACAAAUAGGUACGAAAAUUUAAAAACAAAAAAUUAAAAUCUAAAUAGUGUGCCCUAAGUGAUUAAAUGCAUGAUGCAACACAUAUGUAUUUCUAACUAAUAUUUUUGGAUUUUAAUUUUUUUUAUUUUUUUGUGAUUUUCAAUUUUCAAAUUUGUUUGUGAUUUUCAAAAUAAAAACGAAAAAUAAGAGUGGAGAGAUACGGGAUACCAAAGCAAGCUUCCAAAUCCGAGCAAAAUUUGUCCACUUUACUCCAUGAUUCCCGAAUAAUCCGCCUCGAAAUAAAAGCAAAAAUAGUGAGAAACAAACUAAUCCGAAAGAUUAAAAAUAAAGGAGCGAAAAAUUAAUUUUAAUCCCCGGCAGCGGCGCCAAAAACUUGAUGUGCUAGAAAUUAUAUUUUAAAAAUAUCGCAAGCGCACGAUCAUCGUUUUAAUAUUUAUGAUUCGAUCCACAGAGAUUAAAAUUAUUUUUCGCUAACCUUUAAAUCUAACCUAGGCGAAUUAGAACAAUUAAUUUUGAGAAAAAGGGUUUUCUAAAUUUAACUCUAAGAUUUCAUUUUAAACUAAUCUAAUUAAUUAUUACUAAUCACAAUUAAAAUCAAAAUUAAGCCUAAUAAUUUAAGAUCGAAAACUAAUUUUAGACACUUAAAAGAAAAAAAAAUGACAAGUCGUGUGCUUAAUCUAUCUAGCCAAUUCAAAAAGUCAAAUCGUGUUUAACCACAAUUUAUAAUCAGAAAAUUUUCAAGCACUAAACUUCAGUAAAUAACAAAAUCCAUUAGAAAUGGCAAACUCGAAAUGGCAACUCAGAGACUAAACAAAUUAAAACCCAAAACAAACUACUUGACACAAAUCAUUCUUAAACAACCUUACAACAGCUAACAAAAUAAAACAAACUCCACUAUUUAGACAAAGGAAUCCAGCUACUGACUCGGGAAACUCGGAGACAGAACCUGCGACUCGGACCUCGACACUAAAUUAACAAAACAUACAGAAACUCAGCAGGACUUAACUCGGCUAUUACAUAUACAGAACUCGGCGAAAACACAGGCUACAAAGAAGAAAUCGACGCAAUGAAAGCAGGGGUUUGAGACUCGACAACGCAUGACUCGAUGACUAACAAAAACACAAGAAACUCAGCUGACUCGGUGAACUCGAAAAGCAAACAAAACUAAUCAACUAAACUGGUUACUCGACUCAAAACAGAGCAACAAUAAGCAGGAUUCAAACAAAGAAAAACGAACCCAGCAACAAAAUCGGGACUGAUUACAAACAAAAGAAACGCAGGGAACAAACUACAAACACAAACUAAUUGAUUCAACAACAGAGAAACUGAAGCUCGGCAUUCCAAUAAGACGCAGACUCGACUCGACUCUGGACUCGGAAACUCGGCCUCAAACUCAAGCAGCAAACAGAAAACACUCGACUGAAAACGUAGAAAAACAAAACGAAAACUAAACCCAGAAAUACACAACCAGCGACUCGAUUAAACUCAGUAACAACGCGACUCGAUGGAAUCAAAACGAUGCACAUAAACUCAGAACUGGACUCGUACUCAACUCGACACACAAAGCAGAAUCGGUGACUCGGUUAUAUGAAUCAGUGGUGACUCGGCGCGGCUCAGGGACGCAACCCCAACUCCUGACUCGCGACUAAGACCACAAAACUCAACUACAGCCAAGAACUCGGAAAAAGUAAGAAAAGGGGUCUGGGUUUGUUUAAGCAAAACGAAAGCAGGGGAGGGUUUUUGAUUAUAAAAUUAAGAAAAACAGAACAGUAGGUGAUUGUUUUUAAACAAAAUAAGAAAAGGUGCUAACGAUUUGUUUAUUAGAACUGACUUUAGAUCCAGAUAACAAAAUAAAAGGCUGUUAAAGUUUUGCAAUCAAAGAAGUGACGUAUCAAGUUAAUUUCUAAUUACUGCAAUCUUAACCAAACCCCCCGCACAAAUUAAUUUUGUGCUAGAGUUUAGAUCUAUACUAAUCACAAGCUCAAUGAUUCUUCAUUUCCCAAAAGCUUAAAAGCAUGUGGUGGUACUUAAGAGAAUCAUACAACUUGGAGACUUAAGAGAAUCAUACAACUUGGAGAAAAAAAGACAAGACAAGAUUAAGCUAAGAGAGAUUUGCAUAUAAAUUAAAAAGUGUAUACAAGCUUGGAAAGGAAAUUGAAGCUAGCAAAAUGUAAAUCUAUCUAAGAUACUAACUAUAGGAAUGACUAGGUAGAAAAAGAGAGUAGGUGGCUAGGUUUACUAGGUUGCUAGGUUGGUUAUUACAAGUAAGGAGAAGGGGGUAUUUAUAACUAAAGAAUUAGGGUUUAUGGGUAGGGUGGCUCAAUCUUGGCCAUCCAUGUGCCUUGUGUGUUGGGAAGAUUGUGGCCCUCCAUGUGUCCCUUAGUUGCCAACUCUCUUUUUUUUCUUCUUUUCUUUUCCCUUUUCUUCUUUUUCUUGCAUUUUCUCUUCUUUCUUUAUUUAUCUACAAUUUCCUGAAAUAAAAUAAAUAAGCGAUUAAUACUACGAAAAUAAACAAAAAAUAGGCACUUAAAUAUGCAAAAAUAUGGACUAAUCA